rnacentral:rRNA from 1 species
CCGACCCGCACGAAAGGCGUAACGAUCUGGGCACUGUCUCAACAAGAGACUCGGUGAAAUUAAGAUACCUGUGAAGAAGCAGGUUACCCGCGACAGGACGGAAAGACCCCAUGGAGCUUUACUGUAGCUUGAUAUUGGGUGUUGACACAGCUUGUACAGGAUAGGUAGGAGCCAUUGAGGCCGGAACGCUAGUUUCGGCAGAGGCGUUGGUGGGAUACUACCCUCGCUGUGAGAACACUCUA